rnacentral:rRNA from 1 species
CCUACGGGUGGCAGCAGUGGGGGAUAUUGCACAAUGGGGGAAACCCUGAUGCAGCGACGCCGCGUGGGUGAAGACGCGCCUCGGCGCGUAAGGCCCUGUCAGCAGGGAAGUAAAUGACGGUACCUGAAGAAGAAGCCCCGGCUAACUACGUGCCAGCAGCCGCGGUAAUCCGUAGGGGGCAGGCGUUAUCCGGAUUUACUGGGUGUAAAGGGGGCGCAGACGGCGAUGCAAGCCAGGAGUGAAAGCCCGGGGCCCAACCCCGGGACUGCUCUUGGAACUGCGUGGCGAGAGUGCAGGAGGGGCAGGCGGAAUGCCUGGUGUAGCGGUGAAAUGCGUAGAUAUCAGGAGGAACACCGGUGGCGAAGGCGGCCUGCUGGACUGCAACUGACGUUGAGGCCCGAAAGCGUGGGGAGCAAACAGGAUUAGAUACCCGAGUAGUC